ACAUCUUCUCGGCCCAAGUGGCUAAGAUCAUGUGAAGUAUCUGUUCUUAUCAGCUUAAUCUCUGGUAGUGAGGCCUCCUGUGCCUCACCUCAAGGUUAGACUUAUUUUUCUUGUUGGGCUCCUGGCACCAUGCCUUCCAGCUAUGCUGUGGGCAGUCCAGAGAGCAGUGAUCAGCUUUGUACUGCACCACCCUGCAAAGUUCUUCAAAUGGUCCACCCCUC
rnacentral:snRNA from 1 species